CUGAGAACAGUGUGACUCCCUCCCCCCUGGGAACACUCCCUGUGAAUCCCAACAUGGAGCCCGAGCACAUGGCUCUCCUGAAGCUUCGCAUCCUCGGCUUCCUGGGAAGUGGGCCCUGCCGGGCCAGUGGGGAGCUUGGAAGCAACGGCUGGAAUUUCUUCUUGGUCUCUGUUGGCCUGCUUGUCUGCCUGCUCCAGGAUGGCCUUGGAGGGAGCUGGCAUAGGAUUGAGACCAUGCGGUUGGAAGCUGGGAUCUUCCCUGGUGCCUCUGGCUUCCUUGUGACCCCAGAACAGAAGCUCAGAGCACCGUUUGGAGAGUAGCCCUUCCACUUUUCGUAAAGCACCAUGAUGAAACAUGACCUGUGACUGGUAAGUGCACAGGUCUCCUUGAUCCGCGAGGUUUACUCAGCUUCUGGAGGCCUUCCUGGUUUCAUGGGGUAGGCAAGGCGCAGACAUGAUCAUGGACAACUUGUGUGGAGUGUGCCUGCGUGCCCAGAUCAGUGGCACCACAGAGCUCCUCUGUGUCCUCUGUCACUUGACACCAGGAGAACUAAGGCCCAGAGAAGGGAAGACAUUUCCCCACGGUCACUCAGCAUAGCCAGACACACCUCCAGAGUCAGAAUCCAGCCUGAGAUUCUGUGGCUCAGCCUUUUUUCUUUCUGCUGUUUAUUGUUAAUUAUUUUAAAAACAACCUUAUCGGGAUACAGUUCACAUACUUUUCAGUUCAGCUUUUUAGUGUGCAGUUCAAUGACUUCUAGUACACAGUACAUCCAUCCCCUCAACAUUAGAACAUUUUCACUAUUCCUAGAAGAAACUUCAUCCCCCCUGGUUGUCAUCAUUCUCCCCGUCUGUUCCUCCAUCCCCUAGGCCAGUGGUGGUGAACCUAUGGCAUGUGUGCCACAGCCAGCUGCUUAUAUCAUUGAAAGCUCUAAAGGCUUCACCAUCACUGCUGGCCCUAGGCCAGCCUAUCUAUUUCCUGUCUCUACAGAUUUGCCUAUUCCAGACAUCUCCUAUAAAUGAAGUUAAACAUUAUAUGACCUUUGUUUUUGGCUCCUUUCACUUAUAUUUUCAAGUAUAAUGUAGCAUGUAUCAGCACUCCAUUCCUUUUCAUUGCCGAGUAACAUUCCACUGUGUGGUUAUACUAUAUUUUAUUUAUCCAUUGAUUAACUGAUGGUCAUUUUGCAUGUUUCUACUGUUUGUCUGCUAUAAAUGGUGAAUUGUGAACAUUCACAAACAGAUUUCCAGGUGGACAUGCUCUCAUUCAUCCUGAGUAUAAAUCCAAAAGCAGAGUUGCUGGAUUGUAAGCUAACUCCACAUUCAUGCGCCCAGCCUUCUGACCCCGGCUUGCCCAGACUUUGGAGGUGCUAAAGGAAAAUGGUGAGCAGGAUCUGGCAAGCAAGUCCCCUCAACUCUUCAGGCCUUCCACCAAAUGCCACAGGAUGCUUCGCUGGAUCCCACUUCCUGCUCUGCCCUCAGCGUGCUGGGCAAUCUGGGCGAGGUGGUUUACAUCUCUGCCUUCGAUUCCCAGGGGAAACACGACCCCGACCUCGGGCAGCGUGGGUCACUGCUGCCUGUCUGUGAACGUCCCAGGGAUGGUGUCAGUGCUCAGGCUUUGGAGUCUGCCCCAUUUGCCCACCUUCCACCUGUAAGGCUCAUGGUGCUGUGUGUCAUGGAGGCUGAAGGCUCGUCACCUUUCACCACUCCUCUUUUGAAGGGAUGUUUCUUUGCCCUCUUGAAAUGAAGCAUACAGCCUCAAGGACUCUGCUGGGAGUCUCUGCGCAUCUGCCCAGGCCUGCCGCAGGAGAAGAGGGAGGCCUGGUGAGAAUGUCCCGCCCCAGCCCUGGCCGGAAAACACACCUCUAGGAGCCCCUCUCAACCCUCCGCCCUUGGCGCCUGCAUCCCGCACUCCGGCAGUGUUCUGUUAUUCUGAGCUUGGCAUGGGGCUGUGGGGUGAGCUGGCAGACAUCCCGGGUAAACACGAGCAGCUGGACGGGACAAACGCCUUCAGGGGACGCAGGGUGGACCCCACCAGACCCUGCUCUGUGAGGGCUGCCAGGGCUUAUGUGAAGGCUUCUGCCCGCUGAGUGGUGGACCUGGUAGGAGAGGACAAUGCAGGGGGAACGGGCUGGGGCCCUGGGCCGAGCCCAGGCCUGGCAACAGCUGCUGCCUGGGUCAAGUCUCAGCUCUGUACCCUAUGACUGUGUGACCUUGGGCAAAUUGCUUAACGUUUCUGUGCCUCAGUUUCCUUAUCUAUAAAGUAGGGGGAGCAGCACAGCCUCUAGGGUCCCCUAAGUACCAGAAAGGACUUCGGGGAGUCACUGACGCGUUGAGAACUGUCUGCCUGGGAAAGAACCGUAAAACAGGCCGACACGGCACUCAUUAAUUGACCAAUGCUCCAGCCCCCCAGGCCGCGCCACCGUGCAGUGCUCAAGGGACACAAGGGUCCGGCACCUAGAAGGUCAGGAAGAAGAAGGACAUUCCAGGCUCAAGGAACUACCUGCGCAGAGGCUAAGAGGAUACAGGGUGUCCAGGGGCUACAAGAAAUUCACUGUGGCCCAACAUACUGUGUUGGUGGAAGGGGUUAGAGAUGGAGCUGGACUCUAUAGAGCCUUAAACACCAGUAAAUUUAAGCCUGGGGUGGGUGUGAUCUCCCUCUCUCCCCGCUCAAAAACUCACAAAGGACAACAGCAGAUCUUGUUUCCAUGUGAAAAAUAAACUCUUUUAUUUCAGUGCUUGCUCCUUGUGGUUCAAAAGCGCAUCUGCUGCCUGCUAGGAACCGGAAAGCGUAUACAUAAACCUAUAGAGAAACAGGGCUGUAUUUAUAUAGAGCACACGUUAGCUCAUCUUGUAGUUCUCUCUGUGCAAAGCAGAAAGUUUUACAGGCAUUGAUGUGAUUUUUCCCAAGACCCUGUCUGGAAUCUUGGGAGUCCCAGAGGCUGUAACUGCACCUCCAGUAGAGACUGCCCCAUUCCGUCCAGCCGGAGGGAAGCCUGGUCAUACAGACAGCAUGCGGGCAUAGACUCCGAGAUGAUAACCCACAGGCUCUCCACGCUUCCUCAGGGCCAGGGCUGUGCCAGGGUGCUGGCUGUGCAUGAGGGCUUGGGGGUGCUGGCCUUGUUGGUUAGCGACCAGGUGGGCAGCUGAGGCUCUUGCGAGGGCUGGGCAUUGUGUGGGCAGGCCCCGGCUCUCCUCCCCCAGCACCGGGAUCUGCAGGGAGGGACCUGCGUGCAGGUAGGAAGCAGGAUGGCUGGUGGUCACGGCUUCCCUCUCGGAAACAGCCUGGGCCCUGGGGUUAUUCACAAAGCCUGCCACGUGAGGCGCAGAGGCUCAGGGCCAAGAGCACAUUGGAGAUGCGCUGGCUCAAUCAUUCUGCAGAUUAAUGAGGAAACUGAGGCCCAGAAAAGGAAAGACAGAGUCUGACCAGACUUAGAGCUCAAACCCAGGGCUGACCUCCAGCUCCCCAAACCCCUCCAACUCCUUCCCUGCCUCCUGGGCCCAGCUGGGCCCUUUCUGGUCAGUCCCCAAGUGGUUUCUCUGUCAUUCUCAGGUCAGAGCUGGUGUCAUAAAUGCAGUGCUGGCCUCGAGCCAGAAGGCUCAGGCUCUGGCCCAGGCCUUCACAUCCCCAGCCCCGCAUGUGCCACGCACCCCCAGUAGUCUGGUGUGGAGAGGGCAGCGGGCCCCUCCCAGCCUCCUCACUGGGAUGCAGCUCCCAAUCUGCAGCUCCCCACGGUGAUGGACCUGCUGGGAGCCCUGUGCGCGCCCGCACUGCGAGCCCAGGAGGUGCCUGGUGCAGUGGGCGCCUCACAGCGGGGACAGGGGUGGGACGGCUGUUGGGCCAGGGCUUCUAGAAUGGGAAGGUGGGGGCGCUGGACCUGUUCCCCAGCCCUGCCUGGCUUUGGCUCUUCAAAGGGCUGCCGGGGCCUGAGUGCCGUGGGCAAGAGGUACAGGACGCUGCUGGGCAGCUGAGCUCCUCAGCCCAGCCAUGUGCA